CAACGCCGCGUGAACGAUGAAGGCCUUCGGGUCGUAAAGUUCUGUGUCAGGGAAGAACAAGUACCGGAGUAACUGCCGGUACCUUGACGGUACCUGACCAGAAAGCCACGGCUAACUACGUGCCAGCAGCCGCGGUAAUACGUAGGUGGCAAGCGUUGUCCGGAAUUAUUGGGCGUAAAGCGCGCGCAGGCGGUUCCUUAAGUCUGAUGUGAAAGCCCCCGGCUCAACCGGGGAGGGUCAUUGGAAACUGGGGAACUUGAGUGCAGAAGAGGAGAGCGGAAUUCCACGUGUAGCGGUGAAAUGCGUAGAGAUGUGGAGGAACACCAGUGGCGAAGGCGGCUCUCUGGUCUGUAACUGACGCUGAGGCGCGAAAGCGUGGGGAGCGAACAGGAUUAGAUACCCUGGUAGUCCACGCCGUAAACGAUGAGUGCUAAGUGUUAGAGGGUUUCCGCCCUCUAGUGCUGCAGCAAACGCAUUAAGCACUCCGCCUGGGGAGUACGGCCGCAAGGCUG
rnacentral:rRNA from 1 species